GACGAACGCUGGCGGCGUGCCUAAUACAUGCAAGUCGAACGCAGUGGGGACGGGUGAGUAACACGUGGGUAACCUCCCAUCAGAGGGGAUAACACUUGGAAACAGGUGCUAAACCGAUACUGAUGGAUGGACCCGCGGUGCAUUAGCGAGUUGGUGGGGUAACGGCUCACCAAGGCGACGAUGCAUAGCGGACCUGAGAGGGUGAUCGGCCACACUGGGACUGAGACACGGCCCAGACUCCUACGGGAGGCAGCAGUGGGGAAUAUUCGGCAAUGGACGAAAGUCUGACCGAGCAACGCCGCGUGAGUGAAGAAGGUUUUCGGAUCGUAAAACUCUGUUGUUAGAGAGGCGGUAUCUAACCAGAAAGCCACGGCUAACUACGUGUCAGCAGCCGCGGUAAUUC
rnacentral:rRNA from 1 species